AGCUGUAGCAAUGUUACGUACCAAGGUUUCCGUAGUGAACCUGCGGAAGGAUCAUUA
rnacentral:rRNA from 1 species